rnacentral:lncRNA from 1 species
CCUAUUUGUCUCUUAACGUCCUUAGUAGCCGAAGGUGAUACCCAUCUUCCCAAUACCUUGAAGUAAACUGAAUGGGAGCCAUAUGUUGUUUUUGCAUCAUCAAAGUUGAAAUUUUGUUAAGGUUUCUCGAAACGGAACUGGAGUUUUCCCUCUUGUGUGUGUUUUCCAAUUAAUCAAUCACAGGUGAGUUUUCAUUUACAUGUUUGUUUGGAUGGUGCGAACAUCUUAGGGUUUCAAGUGUUUUAUUUUGGGGUUUCUUAUAUUUAGCUUCAUUUUCGGUAGAAUGAAAUAUAGGUUUUUUUUUUUUUUUUUGGUUAAAGAUAUGUUCGUAUUUAGAGAAAAAAAAAUUAUUAUUAUUAUUAUUAUUUGCUUUCAAGGAAUUUUGUUGUGAUAAAAUUUUUGGGAAAAUUGAUUCAUCUGUAUUACUACUAGUCGAUGGAAAUUUUCUUUCAAUUUUAAUGGUAUAUAUGAGAGUUACUACUAGCAACUAAACAAAUUAUUUGCUUGGUCAUUUGUCAUUGUUAUUGUUUUACUAAUUUUGAAUAUCGAUUUCAUUGUGUGUGUGUUGUUAUUGUUUUGUCCUUUGUCUUUGCAUGAUAGAAUUGAAUGUAUGUUGUUAUUGUUAUUUUUUUAUGAAUUUGAUUUGAGACAUGAUAAAAUGAUAGCAGUAAGCAUGUAAAAGAUGAAUGUUGACUACAAAUUUGGGAUGAAAAAAAAGUGACAGUUUGUGAAGUGUUGGUCAUGCCUUAGUAAUACAGAAAUUAAGGUGAACCAAAUGCUUGCCUCAUAAGUAAUCUGCAAAUUAAUAAUAAGAGGAGAGCAUAGUGAGGCAUGGUUUGGCCUAUGCAAGUUCCGCAAAGAGAUACGCAAUAAAUUAAGGUGUUGUUGUUGAGUUUCAAUGUCAAAUGGCAGGUAAAGCACAUUAAAUCAACAAGGGAAUAAAAAAAAAAAAGAUAUAUGACGACAUUUAUAUAAGCAACUCUUUCCAACAACUUAAGCCUUUCACCAUAUCCAAACCACAUUGGACAAUGUCGACUGAUAAGAAUUUCAAUAAAGCUAGUGGCCUAAAAAAGCACCUGGGUUAGAUGAUCUGAAAGAUUAAUAGGUGUUGAUCCUUUAAAGGCAGCACGAACUGGCAUACAAUAUACAAAUCUCCAUCCUCUAGCAUGCAUCUUUAGACCAGUCAGAACAUCCCCAGUCUGAGAGCCAUAUAUCCAGCCAACCUAUAGAUAUUAGGGUUUCCACACCAUAACAGUUUAUGGCAAGAAUAAUAGAGACAUUUGAAGUGGUACUUUUUUACUAUGUCUUAAGUAGAGAAAUGUUGGUAGUUGUAAAAAGGGGAAAAAAUGUGGCAAACAGUGGGAGAACAUAUUAAAAGUUGCAUGGUGAACAAUUGCAUAGUGUUCUGGUAACAUAUGGAUACCAAUUGCAAAUAAUUAACUGAGGCUAACUCAAACCUAUGUUUUGACAUUUCAAACAUUGGUCAUUUCCAAUUAUUUCCUUCUUAUUUGCUCGGCCUUCCUAGGGCACUUCCAAUCUCGUUUACUACUUGUUUCCAUGUACGACAUACCUUUCAAUGCUAAAGAAUCAUUGUCAAAUUUGUUCCAAGUAAGUCAAUCCUUUAUGGAGAAAUGCUAGUCCUUGUGAAAAAAAAACUUCCUAAUGGCUAUUCCAUUACCUCUAUCCCCCAAGCAGCCUUCUCUUCAUAAUCACAACUGAUUAAUGGUAGGUUUAUAAGUACUUUUUGAAUAAAUGUUGUUUAACUACUUUUCGGAUUUGUGUUUUUAGGUUUAUGUAAUGGUAGCUUUAUAGAUGUUUUGAGGUGAAUAAAUUUUUUUAAAUUAAAACAAUUCUAUGAGGUCCUUUAUCUUUUCUCAUAAAACAAACAUAGCUUUGAAUAAUGCUAUACAUAUUGGGUAUAGAUGAAGAGUUAAGCAUGUAGAUAGCAUGAUAUAAAUUUGGUUUUCGUUAUAGUUGUUAGUAUUGUGAGGAGUUGUCUUAAUUAGUAGUUAAUGUCAACUAUAAGCUGAAUAGUUUUGUUGAGAAUCAUCUGAGGUUGGUUUUUUUGCUCGAAUCCAUUUGAGCUUGUUUUUAUGCAUGUUGUUUUACAAGAUUUUUAAGUUCUGCUUUGUGCUUAAUGGUUUGUUGUAUCUUGCUGUUACUUUCGUCAAUCGCUGAGGUUUAUAGAUGUUUGUGAGAACCAUUAUGUUCAUUAUGGCAAUAAGGAAUGGUAAAUAUUGAAAUGGGUCCCAAAAAUAAUUUUCUAAUUUUAUUGUUUUUGUUAUUUCCAUCAAUGUAAGUUUGUCUCAAAUAACACUUAUUAAAUGUAUAUAACCUAAAUUUUUAGAAUGUUAUGGCUACAAAUUACAUCCUUGUAAUGAAAUUGUUUUUUGAAUAACGAAUUUGAAUGUUUACUUUGAAUUGUUUUUCUAAUUUUUCCAAUCUAUUAUCUGAAGGACCAUUAAAUCUGUAAUAGGUUCUUUCCUAUAGUAAAUCUGAUUUUCAAUGUGAGAGUGCUUGACAGUCGAAAUCCCACUGUUAUGAUUUCUUGGAUGGUGAUUGCUUACUUUCAUAAUAACAUUAAAGUAGAAAAGUUGUUCAUUCUAUAUGUUGGUUGCAAUUUCCUUAGUGGUAGAGGUUUUGGGAAUAAAUAGUUCAAAUUGUUGCAAAUUAUGCAACUUUAUUGUGGUGUAGAGAACUUUUGCACUAUAGACUAUGUCAUGUUUGAAAACUUCCCUUUAGUUAUUUCUACUCAUAUGAGACAUGCACGGGGAAGUCUUAUGAUAAAGCGACCUCAUGUAUAAUUUCGUUAUUCUUUAAGAAUUCUGGAAGUUUGCAAUAUCAUUUAUUUGACAAACUUCUUUUUGUUCAACAAAGGUUACCUGGUCAAAGGUUAGUUCACCCUCAUUGAGUUCAGUUUUCAACUUAUAUUUUAUUUUAUUAUGAAUUGAACUGUGCAAAAUGAAUUGAAAAAGAUUUGGUUAUAAUGGAUUACACUUCAAAAGACAAACAAAUUUGUAUUCUACAUUGAGUUGCAUCUCAAGCAUGAUUUUAUAACCUUGGCAAUUUAGUGUUUGAUUCAAAAAAAAAAAAAAGUUUCAAAUGCAUUCAAUUUUAAACACAAAAAACUGAAUUUCACAAGAAAUUGUACUUUGGUUUCAUAUGAGAGCUAUGGAUUUUAAGACCAUGCUCGUAACUGGUCUUGCUUUGUGGUCUAUAGUUCAGUCCGUCUUUACUUGGUAUCCACUUCAAAAUUAUUUUAGCUUUUGGUCGGUGGUCUUUUUGUUGAUUAUAGGUUGGUUUCUGUUACCUUUUCUAGAUAGAGAACGAAGAAAAUUCAGCAGACAGGACAUAAAAUGUUGGAGAUGGAGAAUUGAAUUUAGAAACUGGAGAAACACAACCUCAAAGUGCUGGAAAAAUGAGGCCGAGCAGGCAAUAUUUGAGGAGAGGACAUAUUAAAAUAAAUUACACUCAAAUGACGAUGAGAAAAAUGUCAGAAUAAAUUCGGUUAAUAUAGAAUUAGAAAGUAUGAAUUUUGGCAUGUGAGCAUGUAUAUGUCAUAUGUAGUAAACGAAUAUGUUUCAUCUUCAUUUCCUUAGUGUUUGAUGAAUGGUAUGUGAGGCGCUGCCUAUGCCAUUUUUUGAAGAUAUUAUAACAUGUUUGAUGAAUUACUGUCCAUAUAUGCUAAUAGUGUGUCUGAUCAAUAACUUUUAUUUUCAUAAGAUUUACUAAAAUUUAAUUUAUGCUCACUUGAGUAGGAUAUCGUUGCUUUUCGCCCAGGUACUUUGAUUUAUAUGGGAAUGAGAAUACUAUGUUAUGCACAACAUAGAAACAUGAUUUAAAUUGAAAGGAUGACAAUUUUUUUUUGCUUGUGUUCAACCAAAUAGAAUUACAGGUAGCUCUUAGGAGAACAAAAAGGAUAAUUGGAGUCAUGUUUCCAUGGUAGCAGUUUAAAUAAAG